AUUUAUUUAACUAUAAAAGUAAUAUGUCUUGAAAACAUAUAAAAGAAGUAAAAUCUUCUAAUAAAUU
rnacentral:tRNA from 1 species